UACGUAGGGUGCUAGCGUUGCUCGGAAUUACUGGGCGUAAAGCGUGCGUAGGCGGUUUGUUAAGUCGGGGGUGAAAUCCUGGAGCUCAACUCCAGAACUGCCUUCGAUACUGGCGAUCUCGAGUUCGGGAGAGGUGAGUGGAACUGCGAGUGUAGAGGUGAAAUUCGUAGAUAUUCGCAAGAACACCAGUGGCGAAGGCGGCUCACUGGCCCGAUACUGACGCUGAGGUGCGAAAGCGUGGGGAGCAAACAGG
rnacentral:rRNA from 1 species